rnacentral:rRNA from 1 species
GCGGCGGACGGGUGAGUAACCACGUGGAUAACCUACCUAUAAGACUGGGAUAACUUCGGGAAACCGGAGCUAAUACCGGAUAAUAUUUUGAACCGCAUGGUUCAAAAGUGAAAGACGGUCUUGCUGUCACUUAUAGAUGGAUCCGCGCUGCAUUAGCUAGUUGGUAAGGUAACGGCUUACCAAGGCAACGAUGCAUAGCCGACCUGAGAGGGUGAUCGGCCACACUGGAACUGAGACACGGUCCAGACUCCUACGGGAGGCAGCAGUAGGGAAUCUUCCGCAAUGGGCGAAAGCCUGACGGAGCAACGCCGCGUGAGUGAUGAAGGUCUUCGGAUCGUAAAACUCUGUUAUUAGGGAAGAACAUAUGUGUAAGUAACUGUGCACAUCUUGACGGUACCUAAUCAGAAAGCCACGGCUAACUACGUGCCAGCAGCCGCGGUAAUACGUAGGUGGCAAGCGUUAUCCGGAAUUAUUGGGCGUAAAGCGCGCGUAGGCGGUUUUUUAAGUCUGAUGUGAAAGCCCACGGCUCAACCGUGGAGGGUCAUUGGUAACUGGAAAACUUGAGUGCAGAAGAGGAAAGUGGAAUUCCAUGUGUAGCGGUGAAAUGCGCAGAGAUAUGGAGGAACACCAGUGGCGAAGGCGACUUUCUGGUCUGUAACUGACGCUGAUGUGCGAAAGCGUGGGGAUCAAACAGGAUUAGAUACCCUGGUAGUCCACGCCGUAAACGAUGAGUGCUAAGUGUUAGGGGGUUUCCGCCCCUUAGUGCUGCAGCUAACGCAUUAAGCACUCCGCCUGGGGAGUACGACCGCAAGGUGAAACUCAAAGGAAUUGACGGC